GGCACAGUGGUACAGUGGUUAGCACCGUCAUCUCACAGCAGGAAGGUUCUGGGUUUGAUUCCCACGCCUGUGUCC